GGCGUGCUUAACACAUGCAAGUCGAACGGAAAGGCCCUGCUUUUGUGGGGUGCUCGAGUGGCGAACGGGUGAGUAACACGUGAGUAACCUGCCCUUGACUUUGGGAUAACUUCAGGAAACUGGGGCUAAUACCGGAUAGGAGCUCCUGCUGCAUGGUGGGGGUUGGAAAGUUUCGGCGGUUGGGGAUGGACUCGCGGCUUAUCAGCUUGUUGGUGGGGUAGUGGCUUACCAAGGCUUUGACGGGUAGCCGGCCUGAGAGGGUGACCGGCCACAUUGGGACUGAGAUACGGCCCAGACUCCUACGGGAGGCAGCAGUGGGGAAUAUUGCACAAUGGGCGGAAGCCUGAUGCAGCAACGCCGCGUGCGGGAUGACGGCCUUCGGGUUGUAAACCGCUUUCGCCUGUGACGAAGCGUGAGUGACGGUAAUGGGUAAAGAAGCACCGGCUAACUACGUGCCAGCAGCCGCGGUGAUACGUAGGGUGCGAGCGUUGUCCGGAUUUAUUGGGCGUAAAGGGCUCGUAGGUGGUUGAUCGCGUCGGAAGUGUAAUCUUGGGGCUUAACCCUGAGCGUGCUUUCGAUACGGGUUGACUUGAGGAAGGUAGGGGAGAAUGGAAUUCCUGGUGGAGCGGUGGAAUGCGCAGAUAUCAGGAGGAACACCAGUGGCGAAGGCGGUUCUCUGGGCCUUUCCUGACGCUGAGGAGCGAAAGCGUGGGGAGCGAACAGGCUUAGAUACCCUGGUAGUCCACGCUGUAAACGGUGGGUACUAGGUGUGGGGUCCAUUCCACGGGUUCCGUGCCGUAGCUAACGCUUUAAGUACCCCGCCUGGGGAGUACGGCCGCAAGGCUAAAACUCAAAGGAAUUGACGGGGCCCCGCACAGGCGGCGGAGCAUGCGGAUUAAUUCGAUGCAACGCGUAGAACCUUACCUGGGUUUGACAUGGAUCGGGAGUGCUCAGAGAUGGGUGUGCCUCUUUUGGGGUCGGUUCACAGGUGGUGCAUGGCUGUCGUCAGCUCGUGUCGUGAGAUGUUGGGUUAAGUCCCGCAACGAGCGCAACCCUUGUUCACUGUUGCCAGCACGUUAUGGUGGGGACUCAGUGGAGACCGCCGGGGUCAACUCGGAGGAAGGUGGGGAUGACGUCAAGUCAUCAUGCCCCUUAUGUCCAGGGCUUCACGCAUGCUACAAUGGCUGGUACAGAGAGUGGCGAGCCUGUGAGGGUGAGCGAAUCUCGGAAAGCCGGUCUCAGUUCGGAUUGGGGUCUGCAACUCGACCUCAUGAAGUCGGAGUCGCUAGUAAUCGCAGAUCAGCAACGCUGCGGUGAAUACGUUCCCGGGGCUUGUACACACCGCCCGUCAAGUCAUGAAAGUUGGUAACACCCGAAGCCGGUGGCCUAACCGUUGUGGGGGAGCCGUCGAAGGUGGGACUGGUGAUUAGGACUAA
rnacentral:rRNA from 1 species